rnacentral:rRNA from 1 species
AGAGUUUGAUCCUGGCUCAGGAUGAACGCUAGCGGCAGGCUUAACACAUGCAAGUCGGACGGUAACAUGAGAGCUUGCUCUUGAUGACGAGUGGCGCACGGGUGCGUAACGCGUAUACAAUCUACCUUUUACAGGGGGAUAGCCUUUAGAAAUGAAGAUUAAUAUCCCAUGGUAUUAUUAACUGGCAUCAGUUAAUAAUUAAAGCUUCGGCGGUAAGAGAUGAGUAUGCGUUCUAUUAGCUAGAUGGUGUGGUAACGGCACACCAUGGCUACGAUAGAUAGGGGCCCUGAGAGGGGGAUCCCCCACACUGGUACUGAGACACGGACCAGACUCCUACGGGAGGCAGCAGUGAGGAAUAUUGGACAAUGGAGGCAACUCUGAUCCAGCCAUGCCGCGUGCAGGAAGACUGCCCUAUGGGUUGUAAACUGCUUUUAUACAGGAAGAAACCGCUCUACGUGUAGAGCUCUGACGGUACUGUAAGAAUAAGGAUCGGCUAACUCCGUGCCAGCAGCCGCGGUAAUACGGAGGAUCCAAGCGUUAUCCGGAAUCAUUGGGUUUAAAGGGUCCGUAGGUGGAUAAUUAAGUCAGAGGUGAAAGUUUGCAGCUCAACUGUAAAAUUGCCUUUGAUACUGGUUAUCUUGAGUUAUUAUGAAGUAGUUAGAAUAUGUAGUGUAGCGGUGAAAUGCAUAGAUAUUACAUAGAAUACCAAUUGCGAAGGCAGAUUACUAAUAAUUAACUGACACUGAU